CAGCAAUGAUGUCUGAAUUUCUUCACCUGAACAUCACCGUGUGGUUCUCAGAGCUUUUUAACCCUGAGCUGU